ensembl:snRNA U2 U2 spliceosomal RNA
GUAUCUUUUGUAUUUUUGUAAUAAAAAAAAAUCUGUUCUUAUCAGUUUAAUAUCUGAUAGGCCCCCCAUCGGGGGACCACAUAUUAAACGGAUUUUUGGAACAGGGAGCUGGAUCAGGAGCUUGCUCCGUCCUCUCCACGCAUNNNNN